rnacentral:lncRNA from 1 species
ACAGAACCGCGUUCGGACGCAUGAAGGUCAAAAGCGAGCGCAGCAAAUUCCAAACCCGGGUUAGGGCUCGACGCCUGCAGUAUUAGGGAGACGCAAACAUGUUGCUGCUCCGGCUGAACAGGAGGGCUUCCGCAGACGGUGCAUUCACCGCCGCGAGAGUCAAUUUCCCCCGCACAACAAGGCGACAGCACAGCCAGUGCAGAAAAAGCAAGCUAAUAGUUGUACCGUGCCCGAUCGAAAUUCAAUAGGAACAAGACUUUUACGCUGAAGGCACAUCGGCCAUUUGGAGAGGAAUCGACUGAAGCGAAAAGGGGCAAAAGGACCAUCCUGUGUAGCAAUGCUGCGGUCCUUUAUAAAAGUAAAAAAAGCGAAUCUGAGCCCUUAUAGCUGAACA